rnacentral:rRNA from 1 species
GAUGAACGCUGGCGGCGUGCCUAAUACAUGCAAGUCGAGCGAACAGACGAGGAGCUUGCUCCUCUGACGUUAGCGGCGGACGGGUGAGUAACCCGUGGAUAACCGACCUAUAAGACUGGGAUAACUUCGGGAAACCGGAGCUAAUACCGGAUAAUAUAUUGAACCGCAUGGUUCAAUAGUGAAAGACGGUUUUGCUGUCACUUAUAGAUGGAGCUGCGCCGCAUUAGCUAGUGGGUAAGGUAACGGCUUACCAAGGCCACGAUGCGUAGCCGACCUGAGAGGGUGAUCGGACACACUGGAACUGAGACACGGUCCAGACUCCUACGAGAGGCAGCAGUCGGGAAUCUUCCGCAAUGGGCGAAAGCUUGACGGAGCAACGCCGCGUGAGUGAUGAAGGUCUUCGGAUCGUAAAACUCUGUUAUUAGGGAAGAACAAAUGUGUAAGUAACUAUGCACGUCUUGACGGUACCUAAUCAGAAAGCCCCGGCUAACUACGUG